rnacentral:rRNA from 1 species
GACGAACGCUGGCGGCGUGCCUAAUACAUGCAAGUAGAACGCUGAAGGAGGAGCUUGCUCUUCUGGAUGAGUUGCGAACGGGUGAGUAACGCGUAGGUAACCUGCCUGGUAGCGGGGGAUAACUAUUGGAAACGAUAGCUAAUACCGCAUAAGAGUAGAUGUUGCAUGACAUUUACUUAAAAGGUGCAAUUGCAUCACUACCAGAUGGACCUGCGUUGUAUUAGCUAGUUGGUGGGGUAACGGCUUACCAAGGCGACGAUACAUAGCCGACCUGAGAGGGUGAUCGGCCACACUGGGACUGAGACACGGCCCAGACUCCUACGGGAGGCAGCAGUAGGGAAUCUUCGGCAAUGGAAGGAAGUCUGACCGAGCAACGCCGCGUGAGUGAAGAAGGGUUUCGGAUCGUAAAGCUCUGUUGUAAGAGAGGAACGAGUGUGAGAGUGGAAAGUUCACACUGUGACGGUAUCUUACCAGAAAGGGACGGCUAACUACGUG